rnacentral:rRNA from 1 species
UACGUAGGGCGCAAGCGUUGUCCGGAAUUAUUGGGCGUAAAGAGCUCGUAGGCGGUUUGUCGCGUCUGCUGUGAAAACUCGGGGCUUAACCCGGGCCUGCAGUGGGUGACGGGCAGACUAGAGUGCGGUAGGGGAGACUGGAAUUCCUGGUGUAGCGGUGAAAUGCGCAGAUAUCAGGAGGAACACCGGUGGCGGAGGCGCUCAUCUGGCCCAAUACUGACGCUGAGGCGCGAAAGCUAGGGGAGCAAACGGG